rnacentral:rRNA from 1 species
UACGUAGGGGGCUAGCGUUGUCCGGAAUCAUUGGGCGUAAAGAGCGUGUAGGCGGCCCGGUAAGUCCGCUGUGAAAGUCGGGGGCUCAACCCUCGAAUGCCGGUGGAUACUGUCGGGCUAGAGUGCGGGAGAGGCGAGUGGAAUUCCCGGUGUAGCGGUGAAAUGCGCAGAUAUCGGGAGGAACACCAAUGGCGAAGGCAGCUCGCUGGGACGGUACUGACGCUGAGGCGCGAAAGCGUGGGGAGCAAACAGG